AACCCUGUCUUGAAAAACCUUUCAGCUAAGAUCAAGCAUAACAUCUGUUCAUGCCUGUUUAAUACCUGAUACAUCCUCUACCUGAAGAUAAUGUAGUAAAUGGGCUCUUGGAACUGGGGGAUGGAAUAGGAGCCACUUCUGCCCACUCCACAGUUUGGCCUGUCAUAUCAGUGAUUCCAAGAAUAAUGCCCUUCUU